CGUUCUUCACUGGCUAGUUUUA
rnacentral:miRNA from 17 species